AUCAGGAGAGAGAUAAGAUGUUAAGAGGGGGGACGUCACUCGUCAUCAGAGAGAGCCAGCAUUGCUGUCGCGCACCACCACUACCGCUGCCGCUGGCAUAAAUAGGGUUUUGCUGAGGAACAGUGAGGUGAAGUCCUAGGUGAGUGUCUGGAGUCCGGAGGAGGCCUAAAAGUCAGUCAAGCAGCCACGGAUUCUCAAGUCCAUUGCUCCACAGGUCAAGUCAAA